rnacentral:rRNA from 1 species
GUCUAUGGCCAUACCACCCUGAACGUACCCGAUCUCGUCUGAUCUUGGAAGCUAAGCAGGGUCGGGCCUGGUUAAUACUUGGAUGGGAGGUUUUGGCAUCAGAAAAU